UUGAGCAACUUCCCGAAGUCGGAUUCCAGCAUUUUCAGAGGCUAUUUUGGGUUGAAAUGGGCCUCCGGUUCAAAGUCACAGCCUUUGGCUGUGACAUCCGUUGAUUUUCGGACAAAUUCCUUCAUUUUGGGCCUUAAAUCUUAAUUUUUAUAUUUUUGGGCUUUUUUUGAUUUAUUUUUGAUAUUUUAAGGUUUUUCUCCCUAAAGACUAUUUAUUGUUCUUUUGAGUAUUGUGGAGGCUGGUGGUUUUUACCUUGAAUUUCAAUAAAUUCUUAUUUUCUUCUAAUUUUCUGGCAUUAUUGAAUCAACAAAAUUUUGAAGAUUGCACUUCCGGUAUUAUUGUGAAUCAACGGAUUUGUAAUUUAUUUUGUAUAGGCUUCUGCUAUAUCAGGUGGUAUCAGAGCAUCGAUCCUGAGAUCAUGCCGCCUAGAGGGAACCAGCGCGUGCCAAAGGUAUAUGAGAGAGACAUGGAACAGAGGAUCUAAGAGAUGAUUGACGAACAAAUGGAUCGGGUGGUGGAACAAUUGACAAAUAGACUGACCAUGAUUUUAGGUAACCAGAAUAGAGCCUAGGAAAACAAUCGUCUUGAGCAGCUCGUUGAAGACGAGGAUUUGGGAGAUGAGUAUGACGACGAGGUUCCCCGCCAACGUCAACGACCAAAUGCAGUUGACAAUAAUAGGUGCCGAGAGAGUGGUAUGCGGACUGAGAUUCCCGAAUUUCAUGGUAGUCUUCAAGCCGAGGAAUUUCUGGAUUGGUUGGCGACGGUUGAGGAGAUUCUGGAUUUUAAAGGGGUGCAGGAAGACAAGUGCGUCCCUUUAGUUGCCACCAGGUUAAAGGGUAGGGCCAUCGCAUGGUGGCAGCAGUCAAAAUUGACUCGCACCAGGUUGGGAAAAGAUAAAAUCGCUACUUGGGAGAAAAUGAAGAAGCAUAUGUGAUAUGCCUUUCUACCAUAUAACUUCCAGCGGUUGAUGUACCAAUUUCUGUAAAAUCUGAGACAAGAUAUGAGAUCAGUGAAUGACUACACUACAAAAUUCUAUCAAUUGAUCGCGAGGAAUGAGAUCCAGGAGACAGAGGAUCAGCUGGUAGUGAGGUACAUUGGAGGGUUGAGGCCACAAUUACAGGACACUGUGAAUUUAUUUGAUCCUGUUUCAGUGUCUGCAGCUCACCAGAGGGCUUUAGUGGUUGAAAGACAAUCACGCAGAGUUGCCAAUUUGAACAGUUGGGGUGGUGGUAAUAGUGCUAUUGUUAAUAAUAGCAGUGUUAAUAAGACAGCAAGUAGUAACAGUGGCAGUGGUGUUUCAGCAACAGUAAAGGCCUAGGGCAAUUUAAUAGGUCAGCAGGGGGCAUAAAGUGUUUUGGCUGUGGAGAGGUUGGCCAUAGACUUUCUGAAUGUAAGAAGACAGCGGGUAAAAAGGCCCUCUUCCUUGAAGCAGACGACUAUGUUGCGGAGGAUCGAGAUAUUGAGGGUGAACCUGUGUAUGAUGAGGAAAAAAUAAUCGACGAAUUGUUGUUGGAAGGAGAUGCAGGGACUGAUCUUGUUGUUAGGCAUUCUUGCUUAACACCCAAAGCAAGUUCUGAAGAUGAGGAUUGGCUCAGAACUAAUAUCUUUCAGUCUACUUGCACCAUUAAAGACAAAGUAUGCCGUUUUGCCAUUGAUGGGGGAAGUUGUGAGAAUAUAGGGUUAGUUGAGGCUGUAAAUAAAUUAGCUAUAGAGACUGAAAAUUAUCCUAAGCCCUAUAAACUGGCUUGGUUAAAGAAGGGUGGGGAGGUUGCAGCAUCCAAGAGAGUUUUGGUAUCGUUCUCUAUCGGAAAGGUGUAUAAGGAUGCUAUAUAGUGUGAUAUGAUGAUGAUGGACGCCUUCCAUUUAUUGUUGGACAGGCUAUGGCAGUAUGAUAGAGACGUGAUGCAUAAUGGCCAAACUAAUACUUACAGUUUCGCCUUUGAUGGAGUUAGGAUUGUGUUGCUGCCAAUGCAAUUGGGGAACGUGCAUAAACCAGCCAGUAGGACGGGGACGAGCACUCUGUUGUCCUUGGCUCAAUUCGAUGAGGAGCUGCAAGAGUCGGAUAGAAGGUAUAUGCUGCUAGGGAAGGAGGUGACAGAGCCCACUACCAUUCCAGACAUUAUAAUUCCCCUAGUUACAGAAUUAGUGACUUAUUUCCUUAUGAGUUACCUGACGGUUUGCCUCCACUUCGUGAUAUUCAACACCAUAUUGACUUGGUGCCUGGUGCAGUAUUACCAAACAUACCACAUUACAGGAUGAGCCCGAGUGAGCAUGAAGAGUUACGUCGACAAGUAGAAGAGCUGCUGGUUAAAGGCCACGUGAGGGAGAGCAUGAGUUUUUGUGCUAUUCCUGCUCUUUUGACACUUAAGAAGGACGGGUCUUGCUGCAUAUGUGUGGAUAGCCGAGCCAUCAAUAAGAUCACCGUCAGGUACAGAUUUCCUAUACCCCGUCUGGAUGAUUUGCUUGAUCGGAUUAGUGGUGCAACUGUUUUCAUUAAACUUGAUUUAAACAGUAGGUAUUAUCAAAUACGUGUUCGGCCUGGGGAUGAGUGGAAAACAACAUUUAAAACUAGAGAAGGGCUGUAUGAGUGGCUUAUGAUGCCUUCGGGUUGUCAAAUGCCCCUAGUACUUUUAUGCAUGUUAUGAAUCAGUUGUUGAGGCUUUUCAUUGGCAGAUUUGUUGUGGUCUACUUUGAUGAUAUCCUGAUUUAUAGUGCUAACCAUGAUGAGCAUGUAUAGCACGUCCAAGAAGUAUUUAGUACGUUGCGCAGAGAGCAGUUUUAUGUAGCCUUGAAAAAGUGUGUUUUUAUGUCUCCCAGAGUACUGUUUUUGGGUUAUGUAGUUUCUGCAGCAGGUUUAGAGGUGGAUGAAAUAAAAAUGACAGCAAUCAGAGCAUGGCCUAAACCAACUACCUUGACAGAAAUGCAAAGUUUUCAUGGACUGGCUUCUUUCUAUAGGCGUUUCAUUAUGAAUUUCAGCACCAUUAUGGCCCCUAUUACAAAUUGCAUGAAGGGUAAUCAGUUUGAAUGGAUAGAUGCAGCAAAAUUCGCCUUCAAUGAUAUUAAAGACCGCCUUACCACAACACCAAUCUUGGUAUUGCCAGAUUUUUCUCAGGUUUUUUAGCUUCAUACUGAUGCCUCCAAGGUUGGGAUUGGCACUGUUCUGAGUCAAAAUAGUUGGCCUGUAGCAUUUUAUAGUGAGAAGCUAACAGGUUCCUAACUAAAUUACAACACGUAUGACAUUGAGUUUUAUGCAAUAGUGCAAGCGGUUCGGCAUUGGCGACAUUACCUGUUCCAUCGAGAAUUUAUCUUGUAUACUGACCAUGAUUCGCUGAGGCAUAUGCAUUAACAGGAUAAAGUAUCACCCCGUCAUGCUCAGUUGGUAGCUGACCUUGAAUGUUUCACCUUUAUUAUGAAGCAUAAAGCUGGAAUUACUAAUAGGGUAGCGGAUGCCUUGAGUCGCCAGAAUAGCUUGUUGGUGACUAUGCGAGUGGAGGUUCCAGGUUUUGACUCUUUUGAGGAAUUAUUUGCUACUGACCCUUAUUUUUCUGUGGUGUUACAAGAUGUCCAGGCUAGUAAGAGGACAAAAUUCAUGCUGCAGGAGGGAUUUUAUUUUGUGUUUGCAAAGAGGUGGACAAAUACGUCCAGAGAUGCCAGGUCUGCCAGGUUUCUAAGGGAGCUAACACAAACGCAGGGUUGUACAUCCUAUUGCCAGUUCCUUCUCAACCUUGGGCUGACAUUAGUAUGGACUUUGUAUUGGGAUUGUCGCAUACACAACGAGGUAAUGAUUCUAUCUUUUUGAUAGUUGAUAGAUUUUCUAAGAUGGUUCAUUUUAUUCCCUGCAAGAAGACCACAGAUGCUGUUAAUGUCGUUUAGCUGUUCUUUCGGGAUGUGUAUCGUCUUCAUGGUUUGCCAGUGUCCAUUAUCUCUGAUCGAGAUACCAGGUUUCUGAGUCACUUUUGGUGCAACCUUUGGAAGAUGGUCAACACACAAUUGAAAUUUAGCAGUGCUUACCACCCUCAGACAGACGGACAAACAGAGGUGGUCAAUCGGUCUCUGGGUAAUUUGUUGCAUUGCUUGGUGGGUGACCAUAUCAAGAGCUGCGAUCAAAAGCUUUGUCAGGCGGAAUUUGCUCAUAAUCACGUUGUGAACAGGAGCACAAGAUUCAGUGGUUUAUUCGGUGCAACCCUGAGGUCCACUUGAUUUAUUGACAUUGCCUAGUAAGACUAGAAUUCAUGGGAAGGCAGCAGAUUUUGUUGCUGGUUUGCAGGAUGUUCACAAGACAAUAUUCGAUAAUCUGUCCACUGCCAAUUCCAGAUACAAGCAGGAUGCAGACCAGAAAUGCAGACAUGUGGAGUUCGAAGUGGGUGAUUUUGUUUGGGCAGUGCUGACCAAGGAUCGCUUCUAUGUGGGUGAUUACAAUAAGCUGUCUGCUAAAAAAGGUUGGACCUGUUGAGAUUGUUGUGAAAAUUAAUCCUAAUGCCUACAGGUUGAAGCUGCUAAGUCACCUUCGUACUUCUGUUGUGUUUAAUGUCAAACACUUGAUUCCUUAUGCUGGUGAUUCUUCUGAUGAUGAGAAUUCGAGGGCGAAUUCUGUCGAGCCAGGGGAAAAUGAUGCGGUUCAGUUGGCAGCAUUGGCAUUCCUAAACAAAUUUGAUAAAUUACGGUAGUGGCAAUUUUGUAAUUUUGAGCAACUUUUCGAAGUCGGAUUCGAGCAUUUUUGGAGGCUAUUUUGGGUGGAAACGGGCCUCCAGUUCAAACUCACGGUCUUUGGCCGUGACAUCCAUUGCUUUUUGGAUAAAUUAUUUCAUUUUGGGCCUUAAAUCUUAAUUUUUGUAUUUUUGGGCUUUUUUUGAUUUAUUUUUGAUAUUUUAGGGUUUUUUUUCCCUAAAGACUAUUUGUUGUUUUUUGAGCAUUGUGGAGGUUGGUGAUUUUUACCUUGAAUUUCAAUAAAUUCGUAUUUUCUUCCAA